AUCUUCCACAAUGGACGGAAGUCUGAUGGAGCAACGCCGCGUGAGCGAAGAAGGUUUUCGGAUCGUAAAGCUCUGUUGUAAGGGAAGAACACGUACUGGAGUCACUGCCCGUACCUUGACGGUACCUUAUCAGCAAGCCACGGCUAACUACGUGCCAUCAGCCUCGGUAAUCCGUAGGUGGCAAGGGUUGUCCGGAAUUAUUGGGAGUAAAGCGCGCGCAGGCGGUCCUUUAAGUCUGAUGUGAAAGCCCACGGCUCAACCGGGGAGGGUCAUUGGAAACUGGAGGACUUGAGUACAGAAGAGGAAAGCGGAAUUCCACGUGUAGCGGUGAAAUGCGUAGAGAUGUGGAGGAACACCAGUGGCGAAGGCGACUUUCUGGACUUAUACUGACGCUGAGGAACGAAAGCGUGGGGAGCAAACA
rnacentral:rRNA from 1 species